rnacentral:lncRNA from 1 species
GAAGAUCUGGUACAUGCUACAACAUGGAUGAACCCCCCCACAACACGCUAAGUGAAAGAAGCCAGACACAAAAGGAUAUGAAAUAUCCAGAAUAGAUAAAUUCAUUGAGACAAAAUGCAAAUUGGUGGUUAUCAGGGCUUGGGGGUGGGGAAAGUGCAGAGAAACUGCUUACUGGGUGAGGGGUUUUCCUUCACAGCGAUGGAAAUGUUUUCAAAUUAGAGAGAGAGAGAGAGAGAGAGAGAGAGAGAGAGGGAGGAGCGAGAGAGAGAGAGAGAGAGAGGGAGAGAGAGAGAGAGAAGCAGUGGUUACAUAACAUUGCGAGUAUACUAACUGCCACUAAAUUGUUCACUUUAAAAUGGAUAUUUUAUGCUAUUUCACCUCAAAAUUUUUUUAAGUUAAAAAACUAGAUAAUUUCAAUGGAACAUAUUUGGCACUGAAACAGUUUAUGUUUCUAUCCUUUGAAAACUAUCCUCUUCAUUUGAAAGAUGAGGAAAGCAAGGUCCUGAGAAGGAAAGCGACUCCCAGGCAGGUUAGUGGAAGAAAGCCUCAAAGGCAGGCUGGUUUCCACUCUUGCAACGCUGUCUCUGCCUUCUCUACUCACUUAGGCUGGGAGCUCCCGGUAGCACAGACCAACCCGGUCAUCGUUGGGUUACACCCCAUAUCCUCUGGCCCAGAACCUAUUAUCUCAAGGAGCUCUACAUGCGUUUGUGCAGGUGAACAGCCAGUUAUGAUUGCCAUGUAAUCUCCUCCCUCCCCUGAGGGCCUCCAUCUUGGCAAGUGAUCCUUCUGAAGAUGUGAUGAUGUAUAAUUGUCAACGCAAGGCUUCACUAUGUCUUGCACCGGACUCAUGCAUGGCAUGCUGUCUAAUUUAUAUAACAAAGCAACCCCAAUAAAGAGAUAUGAUUCUCUCUUUUACAAAUGAAGAAGCUGAGGCUUAGAGCAGGCAAGGAAUUUCCCCAAGGGCAGCAGCUUGUAAGGGAAGGAGCUGGAAUUUGAACCCAGAUAACUUAAGCCCUGCCCCCUAUACUCUUCCAUCUCCCAACCGAGAAGAUUAGCUAGAAUUUGGAAAAACACCUCAUAAUAUGUCAAGCGAGGGAAAAAAGCAAUAUACAAAGUGAUAUAUAGAGGAUACCCCCAAUCUGGUAAUAUAUAUACAACCCAGAAAAAAAGAUACCAAAAUGUUAACAGUGGUUAUUUCCUCUGGGUAGCAGGACAUGUGUUUACUUUAACUUAUAGGUCAUUUUAUUGUCUUUACACUUUCUAGUAUUUUCCAAAUUUCCUACAAUAAGCAAGAGUGACUUUUAUAGUCAGGGAAAAAAAGUUUUUUGCACUAUCACUCAGGCUGCAUGUAUGAGUUAUGGGUGGGUCUGCCACACUAUUAGAUGGCAUGCCCCUUCCUACCACAUUCUAUACUUCCUAUAGCCCCAGAGCCUGGCCUGAAUCCAAGUGGGGGCUUGACAUCUGUUAGCCAAACCCUUAGCUUUUUACUGGCCACAACCUUUCUCUCUCUUUGCCUGACCUAGACACACCAUGUGGUUCUUGGAGCAAAGGUUUGGGCUGCCACUUAUUUUCAGGCUCCAGAAUUUGUUUCUUAGGCUGAGAUGUGUCAAGACCUGGGCUAGGAAAGCUUGUCCUGUUGGUUUUCUGGGGAUGUCAGUCCAUGCCCAGGACUUGUGGCAGAGCUGCCAGGAGAGGCAUCCAUAACUUGUAACAGGAAGGUAACAUCUUGGGGCUGAGUUUCUUCCCAACGCUAGAGGGGAAAGAGUCAAAGAAUGAACAUUGGUGGGAGUCAGAUUGGGAGGAAAAGGCCUUGGGAAAAUCAUGUUCUCUUGCUGUAUUUUAAUCUCCUCAUCUGGCAAAUGGGGGAAGCUGACUACAACACCCUGAAAGCCUCUUCAAGCUCUCGUAUCGUAUGUUUCUUUUAUACUUAUUAGCUGUGUGACCUCAAGCAUGUAAUUAAAACCCCCUGAUGUUCCUGACAAGGUGGCAUAAUAUAUUUAAUGCUUAAACAGCUUUUUAUAGCUUUUUUCAAACCCAUACUACCACAGAUCUUGUUCAGUCUUACAGUGUGCCAGUGAUGUAGCUGUGAUCCUGAAGAAACUGAAGCUCAGAGAGGCUGAGAGAAAUCGGCCCCAGAUCACACAUGCCCACAAGCGGUGGGAGAGGAACCAAGACCAGCUUCUGGCCCUGCGUCUCCCACGCCACUCUGUCCUUCCCAUCCACAGGGUUGUCACCG